rnacentral:rRNA from 1 species
AGGUUUUCGGACUGAGUACAGCGGCGGACGGGUGAGUAACGCGUAGGAAUCUACCCAGUAGUGGGGGACAACUUAGGGAAACUUAAGCUAAUACCGCAUACGCCCUAUGGGGGAAAGCGGGGGAUCUUCGGACCUCGCGCUAUUGGAAGAGCUUGCGUUAGAUUAGCUAGUUGGUGGGGUAAAGGCUCACCAAGGCGACGAUCUAUAGCUGGUCUGAGAGGAUGAUCAGCCACACUGGGACUGAGACACGGCCCAGACUCCUACGGGAGGCAGCAGUGGGGAAUAUUGCGCAAUGGGCGAAAGCCUGACGCAGCCAUGCCGCGUGUGUGAAGAAGGCCUUAGGGUUGUAAAGCACUUUCAAUUGGGAGGAAGGAUUUAGCGUUAAUAGCGUUAAAUUCUGACGUUACCUUUAGAAGAAGCACCGGCUAACUCCGUGCCAGCAGCCGCGGUAAUACGGAGGGUGCGAGCGUUAAUCGGAAUUACUGGGCGUAAAGCGCGCGUAGGCGGUUUGUUAAGUCGGAUGUGAAAUCCCCGGGCUCAACCUGGGAACUGCACCCGAUACUGAUCGACUUGAGUGCGAGAGAGGGAGGUAGAAUUCCAUGUGUAGCGGUGAAAUGCGUAGAUAUAUGGAGGAAUACCGGUGGCGAAGGCGGCCUCCUGGCUCGACACUGACGCUGAGGUGCGAAAGCGUGGGUAGCAAACAGGAUUAGAUACCCUGGUAGUCCACGCCGUANACGAUGUCUACUAGCCGUUGGGGAACUUGAUUCUUUAGUGGCGCAGCUAACGCAAUAAGUAGACCGCCUGGGGAGUACGGCC